GGUGAUUGUUCCUUGUUCUAGGGUGAAAUUGCUAUGUUGGUGUUGUCUAAAGAUUUAUGCCCUCAUGAUGUUUACUUGUCUUUGUUGAUUGGUUUUUACAAGCUAGAGCUGUUAGGAACCUAUGGGUUGGAGGAAUUAGUCUGUCUAUCUCAAAGCAGGAGGUAGAGGGAGAGUUUCAAAAGUUUGGAAAGGUUGAAGGUGUUGCAUUCUCCCAUGAUCAAACUUCUGCAUACAUCGACUUUGAGAAGCUGGAAGAUGCCAUUUCUGCCCAUAGAGCCUUGAAUGGGAUAGAUUAAGGGGGCAAGGAAUUGUGUGUUGAUUUCCAGAGGUCCAGAGGAAGAGCGGAACGGUCAGAAGCAGGCAACUUCAAUAGUAGAGGAUCAUUACCACCCGGUGAAAUGGGAAUUGGACAUGCAAAGGGUUCUGCUGGAGUACGAAUGAGAGAGUCAAAAAUUCCUACCAAUGUUCUCCGGGUGGGUUUACCCAAUACACAUAAAGUUAACGAGGAGGCACUAAGGCGGGCUAUGGCACCACAUGGUGUGGUUACAGACAUCAAAGUUUUUCCAGAAAGGCAGUAUGCUUUUGUGGAGUUUGCAACCAUUGAAGGAGCUUCUAAUGCUAAGAAUCUUCUAGAUGGGCGUCUUUUCAAUAAUGCAAGGAUUCAUGUUCUUUUCUCCAGCAGUGGGCUUGAUAACCUGACACCGCUUGUUGGGUUCCCUAGACCAGAGAUGUAGAAUGAGUCCACAUGCCGCAUGUGAUUAUUUUGGUGCUGGUCGCAGUAGUCAUGGUGCUCGACGUGGAAGGUCAAGAUAAUUGGACUAUGGUGCAAUGCC